CACAAUGAUUGGUAAUGAGUAUUUGGUGAGUUCUAAUUAAGAGGACAUAAUACAUCUACUGUAGUAGGAAUAUCAAUUUCAAAGAAAUCAUUUUUUGUAAUUUGAAUUGUAAGCAGUUUUAAUCCAAGUAAAUUAUAUCAUUGAAUUUGAUGAUUUUAUGAUAAACUGGAAUACUAUAAUAGUACAAAAUCAAUGUUUAUAUUUUACACCCAUUACCUGCAAAAUAUUACGAUACCAAAUCGAAUAAGUACAGACAAGUAUACUAUUGAGAUAUUAAUGUCUAAUCGGUUCAUGAGGUCACAAUUUAAGUACAGUUUACACUGAUAUUAUUUUUGUAAAUUUCAUACGGUAAGUAUAAACUAAAUUGAAGCAAUUAUUAUUGAUAACUUGUAUGUUGGAAGACAUAAAAAGUGUUAGAAUAGUGUUAGAUUUAUGAAUAUAAUAC